GCAAGAGGGGUAUCCACAGAUAGCACCAAGCAUCCUGUCUUCUAAAUGUGAACGCUAACAUGUUGUGGCACUAGCCACACAAGUGUUUAAAUAAACACUCCCUUUAGUUAAAAUGCCUGGCCAGGUAACUUCUUAAUUAUUGUAUCUAUUUAAUUAAGGAUUCCCCUUUAAGAAGGCUGAACUCCCAUGAGCCUUUGUUCUUUUUUAAACAGGUAGAGGGUUGAAGGGAGGCAGGUUUUGUGUUCUGGGUUCCUCCAUUUUGUGUAUGGCGGUGUGGUUUGUGUGCAGGUUCUGAAUGGGUUCCAGUUGACUUUCAGGAUUUUAUUUACAAGAAAAUUAUAUUAAAUAAGAACUAUACCUACCUUGGAGCAUCUCUUAGACAACUUGUUGCUGUUGGACUGCCACUGGAACUACAGAAUAAGCAUCAACAAACAAACAAACAGUCAGGUCUGUGAGGAUGAGAAGGUCUCCACAGUCUGGAGUCUGGUCUCUGACAGGCUCAACAUACCUGUCAAUCAACAGGGACUCCUCUACAAAGGCAAGGCGCUGGCAGGUGAUGAAGUGACACUUUGAAUAUGGGGCCUGAUGAGAGAAGUAUCCUUUUCAUGUGGUUUUGGUUUUGCCCUUGUGAGCAGGUGUGGGAGACAGCACCGUGUCUGCAUGUGAAAUAACAAAGUCAUCGCAGUGGAGGGACUCUCUGAAGGCUGCUGUUUCUGGAUUUGUCUUGUAAUGUCAAAGAAGUCCCCUGGGUCGACAUUGUCUAUACCUUUUAGGAUUUUGAAUGUUUGAAUCAGAUCGCCGCGUAUUCGUCUUUGUUCAAGACUGAAUAGAUUCAAUUCUUUUAGCCUAUCUGCAUAAGACAUGCUUUUUAAACUAGGGAUAAUUCUGGUUGCUCUUCUUUGCACUCUUUCUAGAGCAGCAAUAUCCUUUUUGUAUUCUAGGUGAGGUCUUACUAAUGCAUUUUAAAGUUUUAACAUUACUUCCCUUGAUUUACAUUCAACACUCCUCACAAUAUAUCCGAGCAUCUUGUUGGCAUUUUUUUAUAGCUUCCCCACAUUGUCUAGAUGAAGACAUUUCUGAGUCAGCAUAAACUCCUAGGUCUUUUUCAUAGUUUCCUUCUUCAAUUUCAGUAUCUCCCAUAUGAUAUUUAUAAUGCACAUUUUUAUUGCCUGCGUGCAGUACUUUACACUUUUCUCUAUUAAAUUUCAUUUGCCAUGUGUCUGCCCAAUUCUGAAUGCUGUCUAGAUCAUUUUGAAUGACCUUUGCUGCUGCAACAGUGUUUGCCACUCCUCCUAUUUUUGUCGUCUGCAAAUUUAACAAGUUUGCUUACUAUACCAGAAUCUAAAUCAUUAAUGUAGAUUAGGAAUAGCAAAGGACCUAAUACUGAUCCCUCUGGUACACCACUGGUUACCUCGCUCCAUUUUGAGGUUUCUCCUCUAAUCGGUACUUUCUGUUUUCUACAUGUUAACCACUCCCUAAUCCAUGUGCAUGCAUUUGCAUCCAUGUGCAUCCCCUGGUCAGCUGUCCAGCUCACUGCUGCAGAAGUUUGUUUGGGGCUGGGACAAUGGACUUGUGUGUUUUAGCCAUUUGUUAAUCUUUGAAGAGGACCUGCAAGUUUGUCUUGCAGUCUUCCCUGCAAUAAUGAUGGACUUUAUUUAUUUGAGAACCUGUGUUGGAAAAUGUGCUUUUUGACGAUGAAGUUGUUUUUAAAAAAACAAGUAAAGAAAAUGUACAUGAUCUCUAACUCGCAAUUUGACAAAUAACAAUUAAAAAAUGAAAGCCUG